rnacentral:ncRNA from 12 species
CCUGGACCCGGCAGCGAUCCCGGAUGGCGCUUCCGGCCCCCGAUCCGCCGGACAACG